rfam:Hydrogenibacillus schlegelii strain DSM 2000 scaffold6, whole genome shotgun sequence.
GGGCACGCGUAGCCGCUGCGCCGGACGGAUUUGGCCGCCGGCGUAGAGGAAAGUCCAGGCUCGCCCGAGCUGCGAGGCUCGGAGUGUUCGCGCCCGGGGCAACCCGGGGCGGCGGACGGCCUGCCUCCGGGCAGGUGCCGGGUCCGUCGACGGCGGCGAACGGAACUCCCGGAGUUCCUAUUAGCCAUAACGUGCCACAGAGACGAGCUCUUCCGGCGACGGAAGAGGUGGAACGCGGUAAACCCCGCGAGCGAGAAACCCAAAUGAUGGUAGGGGAGCCCUCCGAAGAGAAAUGAAUCGGAGGAGGGAUCGCCUCCGGCUUCGCCGGCGGCGAUAGAAAGAUGGCUACGCCUCCUGUACGAGGGCCGGGCACCCGUUGGCAGUACGGGAGGACAGAACCUGGCUUACAGUG